rnacentral:lncRNA from 1 species
AUGACUGAGCAUGGGCACAAAGAAGUAAAGCUGGCAGCAAACCCAGGUCUUCUGGCAUCUAGAUUUGUUGAUUGCAACCUGAUGCUCCAGGUUACCCCUAGCUCCCUGUGUAGGAAGACAUCAAGGCUGAGCCUCAGAUUUUGUCCUGUCCAGGCAGAAGUCAGCUGUGAUUCAGCUCCACAGCAGAGCCGAUCUGCUCCCUGCUCCUCAGAAACUUCUGUCAUCUGAAAGCUCACCAGACUGCCACGGUCCAUCCAGCCUUUCUUUGCCGCCUGUGCUCUUUCUCAGACUCAGAAAGUGCUGAGCUGUCAGUGCCGGCGGCCCUAUUCUUGGAUGCGCUGAACAUCAGGUAAGAUAGCUUUGAGCUCGCACCUUCCCCUGGCAACAUUUGACAAGCUUUUGCAAUAAAGAAAUUCAGAAUUAAUACCUGACAAUUAAUCUCUAACUUGAAAGAGCCAUAUAUCCCAUAUGUGUAACCCCUGGACAUUUCUAUUUCCAAUCUGUGCAAGUAAGAUAACAUUCUGAAAAUGAAACAUAAUCCUUAAUGAGCGAUGUUCUUUUAGGAUAGAUUGAUCUGCAGUAGUGAGCAGACUCCGUGAUCUGAGCAGUGGCUAAUGAUAAGGAAGAAGCAGGAGAGUCGGAAGAAGGACAGAGAUGAACAUCGAAGCCGUGAGAUCAGUCCCAGAGGCUGGAAGGUGGACGGCCAGCUUCCGAGGGACACUGGGCAGCUCUUCCUGGGGCUUGUUGUUCAGUUGCUCAGUCAUGUCCCACUGUUUGCGACCCCAUGGACUGCAGCACACCAGGCUUCCCUGUCCUUC